rnacentral:rRNA from 1 species
ACGAACGCUGGCGGCGUGCCUAAUACAUGCAAGUCGCGCGAAGUUUUUCUGGUGCUUGCACUCGAAAAACUUAGCGGCGACCGGGUGAGUAACACGUAAAGAACCUGCCUCAUAGACUGGGACAACUAUUGGAAACGAUAGCUAAUACCGGAUAACAGCAUUAACUGCAUGGUUGAUGUUUAAAAGUUGGUUUUGCUAACACUAUGAGAUGGCUUUGCGGUGCAUUAGCUAGUUGGUGGGGUAAAGGCCUACCAAGGCGACGAUGCAUAGCCGACCUGAGAGGGUGAUCGGCCACACUGGGACUGAGACACGGCCCAGACUCCUACGGGAGGCAGCAGUAGGGAAUCUUCCGCAAUGGGCGAAAGCCUGACGGAGCAACGCCGCGUGAGUGAAGAAGGAUUUCGGUUCGUAAAGCUCUGUUGUUAGGGAAGAAUGAUUGUGUAGUAACUAUACACAGUAGAGACGGUACCUAACCAGAAAGCCACGGCUAACUACGUG